rnacentral:rRNA from 1 species
GAUGAACGCUGGCGGCGUGCCUAAUACAUGCAAGUCGAGCGAACAGACGAGGAGCUUGCUCCUCUGACGUUAGCGGCGGACGGGUGAGUAACACGUGGAUAACCUACCUAUAAGACUGGGAUAACUUCGGGAAACCGGAGCUAAUACCGGAUAAUAUAUUGAACCGCAUGGUUCAAUAGUUAAAGACGGUUUUGCUGUCACUUAUAGAUGGAUCCGCGCCGCAUUAGCUAGUUGGUAAGGUAACGGCUUACCAAGGCAACGAUGCGAAGCCGACCUGAGAGGGUGAUCGGCCACACUGGAACUGAGACACGGUCCAGACUCCUACGGGAGGCAGCAGUAGGGAAUCUUCCGCAAUGGGCGAAAGCCUGACGGAGCAACGCCGCGUGAGUGAUGAAGGUCUUCGGAUCGUAAAACUCUGUUAUUAGGGAAGAACAAAUGUGUAAGUAACUAUGCACGUCUUGACGGUACCUAAUCAGAAAGCCACGGCUAACUACGUG